GAUGAACGCUGGCGGCGUGCUUAACACAUGCAAGUCGAACGAAGCACUUUAUUUGAUUUCCUUCGGGACUGAUUAUUUUGUGACUGAGUGGCGGACGGGUGAGUAACGCGUGGGUAACCUGCCUUGUACAGGGGGAUAACAGUUGGAAACGGCUGCUAAUACCGCAUAAGCGCACAGCAUCGCAUGAUGCAGUGUGAAAAACUCCGGUGGUAUAAGAUGGACCCGCGUUGGAUUAGCUAGUUGGUGAGGUAACGGCCCACCAAGGCGACGAUCCAUAGCCGACCUGAGAGGGUGACCGGCCACAUUGGGACUGAGAUACGGCCCAAACUCCUACGGGAGGCAGCAGUGGGGAAUAUUGCACAAUGGGCGAAAGCCUGAUGCAGCGACGCCGCGUGAGCGAAGAAGUAUUUCGGUAUGUAAAGCUCUAUCAGCAGGGAAGAUAAUGACGGUACCUGACUAAGAAGCACCGGCUAAAUACGUG
rnacentral:rRNA from 1 species